rnacentral:rRNA from 1 species
GACGAACGCUGGCGGCGUGCUUAACACAUGCAAGUCGAACGGAAAGGCCCUGCUUUUGUGGGGUGCUCGAGUGGCGAACGGGUGAGUAACACGUGAGUAACCUGCCCUUGACUUUGGGAUAACUUCAGGAAACUGGGGCUAAUACCGGAUAGGAGUUCCUGCUGCAUGGUGGGGGUUGGAAAGUUUCGGCGGUUGGGGAUGGACUCGCGGCUUAUCAGCUUGUUGGUGGGGUAGUGGCUUACCAAGGCUUUGACGGGUAGCCGGCCUGAGAGGGUGACCGGCCACAUUGGGACUGAGAUACGGCCCAGAAUCCUACGGGAGGCAGCAGUGGGGAAUAUUGCACAAUGGGCGGAAGCCUGAUGCAGCAACGCCGCGUGCGGGAUGACGGCCUUCGGGUUGUAAACCGCUUUCGCCUGUGACGAAGCGUGAGUGACGGUAAUGGGUAAAGAAGCACCGGCUAACUACGUG